GUCUGUCCCGAGGCCAGUCCCGGCUCUGCCUCACAGCGGCUCGUCCCCGCGGGGGGCCCGUGCCUCGCGGUGCCACCGCGGGCACAGGGCAGUGGAGAGGGUCCCGCGGAGGGCACAAGGAUGCUCAGGGGUCUGGAGCAUCUCCCUGAUGAGGAGGGAUUGCGGGAGCUGGGUCCGUUCAGUCCAGAGAAGAGCAGACCGAGAGGGGAUCCCAUCAAUGCAGUACAGGGAUACAGGGAGAGAAAUUGCUCCGUACAAAGAGAACCUGGGUUCACCCUGAAGACCACAGUGGCCAAACCAUUUCCAGCCAUAGCAACGGUGUUGCUCUCCAGAUAUGAUAUUUGGUGGGGAAAAGGAACCACUUGAAAAUAAGACCAUAGGACACCUCAAGACCCAGCUGUACAUUGCAGUUGGAGUUUUUCAGAAAGGGAGACACUUUUAUGCUUCUGAUGCUUACAUUGGAAAGGCUGCUGGAGGGGCUCAAGGUUUCAACAUCAUUCACCUGUGGGGGUUUUAAAAGGGAGCUGGCAACUUUUGAGGUGUUCUGAGAAGAGGGGCACGUUUCAGGAUCUGGCACACAGAAGCUGGUCACUGCUCUGGACUCUGCAUACAAGUACCGGAAUUCCUUCUCAAACUCUGCAACAAUCUGACCACGGAAGUGGGUCACCAGGCCAGUGUGGACUUGACUGCAAAGCCAGGUGAAACUGUGAAUAAAGGAAAAGAAAACACAUGUAACCUUAGUUCAGAGAGUGCCAAGACACCUAGCAUUGAUUUUAACACUGGAGUGAUGUAUUGCUACCCCAUUUAUGUCAUUAAAAUGUUCCCUGAAGUGUA